rnacentral:rRNA from 1 species
GACGAACGCUGGCGGCGUGCCUAAUACAUGCAAGUCGAACGCUGAAGGAGGAGCUUGCUUCUCUGGAUGAGUCGCGAACGGGUGAGUAACGCGUAGGUAACCUGCCUGGUAGCGGGGGAUAACUAUUGGAAACGAUAGCUAAUACCGCAUAAUAGUAGAUGUUGCAUGACAUUUGCUUAAAAGGUGCAAUUGCAUCACUACCAGAUGGACCUGCGUUGUAUUAGCUAGUUGGUGGGGUAACGGCUCACCAAGGCGACGAUACAUAGCCGACCUGAGAGGGUGAUCGGCCACACUGGGACUGAGACACGGCCCAGACUCCUACGGGAGGCAGCAGUAGGGAAUCUUCGGCAAUGGACGGAAGUCUGACCGAGCAACGCCGCGUGAGUGAAGAAGGUUUUCGGAUCGUAAAGCUCUGUUGUAAGAGAAGAACGAGUGUGAGAGUGGAAAGUUCACACUGUGACGGUAUCUUACCAGAAAGGGACGGCUAACUACGUG